GUUUACGUGUGUUACGGCCUUAUCAUUCGUACGGCGACUCUUGAACACGAAUGUAGUAGUGUGCGGGACGCUCCGUCAAAUUCCUUUUAUAAACGCGAUCGUGAUAAAUAUCGCGAAAUGUGAGCAAUGAGCAGUGACCAGUGACCAGUGAGCAAUGAGCAGUAAGCAGUAAGCAAUGAGUACCUGUCACCUGUUGGCCGCUCUAGCAAGGAGGAGACGAAGAAAAACAGAGAAAAUUCUAAUGCGAUACGCAAGUCGGAAGAUAGAGAUGAACGAUAAAUCGAGCAUCGGUGCAUCACUCGAAGACUGAUUUCAGGCGAAGAAGCAAUGAGAGAGGAAGAUUCGUCGAAAAGGGAGAUUUGCAAGGAGGGAGGAUACUCGAGAACAUGUGGGAUAAGUAAAUCAUGGGAUAAAACACCAGCGGCAGAGAAACGCGCGUGCCAGGAGGAUUCGCUUGUUGGCGGAGGGGCCCUCCGCGGAGGACCUGCCGGCUCCUGGAAUCACGCAAGCAUGAAUCCGCCAAAGGAGUACCUCCUGCACCUGCAGCCCCCAAGACGGGGCGCGUCUACGCCAACAGUGCGUGAAUCCUCGGCAUAUGACGCCGGGCAACCCUUCGUCUCAUUCUUUUGCAAUUUUUAAAUA